UCCAGACUCCUACGGGAGGCAGCAGUGGGGAAUAUUGCACAAUGGGGGAAACCCUGAUGCAGCGACGCCGCGUGAGCGAUGAAGUAUUUCGGUAUGUAAAGCUCUAUCAGCAGGGAAGAAAAUGACGGUACCUGACUAAGAAGCCCCGGCUAACUACGUGCCAGCAGCCGCGGUAAUACGUAGGGGGCAAGCGUUAUCCGGAAUUACUGGGUGUAAAGGGAGCGCAGACGGCAGUGCAAGUCUGGAGUGAAAGCCCGUGGCUUAACCACGGGACUGCUCUGGAAACUGUAUAGCUGGAGUGCAGGAGAGGUAAGUGGAAUUCCUAGUGUAGCGGUGAAAUGCGUAGAUAUCACGCAGAACCCCGAUUGCGAAGGCAGCAUGCCGGCUUCCGACUGACGCUGAAGCACGAAAGCGUGGGGAUCGAACAGGAUUAGAUACCCUCGUA
rnacentral:rRNA from 1 species